rnacentral:rRNA from 1 species
AGUGAGCGGCAAAAGCUCAAAUUUGAAAUCUAGCACCUUCGGUGUUCGAGCUGUAAUUUGAAGAUGGUAACCUUGGGUUUGGCUCUUGUCUAUGUUCCUUGGAACAGGACGUCAUAGAGGGUGAGAAUCCCGUCUGAUGAGAUGCCCAUUCCUAUGUAAGGUGCUAUCGAAGAGUCGAGUUGUUUGGGAAUGCAGCUCUAAGUGGGUGGUAAAUUCCAUCUAAAGCUAAAUAUUGGCGAGAGACCGAUAGCGAACAAGUACAGUGAUGGAAAGAUGAAAAGAACUUUGAAAAGAGAGUGAAAAAGUACGUGAAAUUGUUGAAAGGGAAGGGCAUUAGAUCAGACUUGGUGUUUUACGAUUAUCUUCUCUUCUUGAGUUGUGCACUCGUAUUUCACUGGGCCAGCAUCGAUUCGUAUGGCAAGAUAAUGGCAGUUGAAUGUGGCUUCACUUCGGUGGAGUGUUAUAGCUUCUGCUGAUAUUGCCUGUCUGGAUCGAGGGCUGCGUCUUUUGACUAGGAUGCUGGCGUAAUGAUCUAAUGCCGCCCGUCUUGAAACACGGACCAA